ensembl:lncRNA
CUCCAGAUCUGUGGUCCUCAAUGACCCAGAGCUUUCACUGCUGCUCUGCUCCUGCGUCUUCUGAAGCUCAGCCCUCCUGGGUUUAAGGCUCUUGCUCCUGAUCAGUCUGCCUUGUAUUGUGUGCAUCUGCUUUGGACCCAGCAGGAAAAGUACUCGCAGAAGCCCUGUGCCUGGUGUGGUGGCCUGAAGACACAGCACAUGCUGCUGGGAGCUCCUGGCUCUGAAAAGGCUGUGCGGCUAUUAGGCUGACCUGGACCCGUGCCAGAGACUUGGCCAGAAAGGAAGACGGGAUGGGUUCUCUGGUGCCCACUGGGCUUGCUUGGAAGCAGCGGUUCCCUUGAAAAGCAAACACCAAUAGGCCAUGUAGGAAGGCUCUGCCUUUACACCCUGCCCACCUCCUCCCUUGGACCUGUGAGCACAGGCUGCUUUUCUGCAGGACCAGGGGAGGGGUGGGAAAAUCAAGAGGAAUUGAAUGCCUCCUCAUGAUGGUGUCACCAUAACCUCACUCACCUUCACGUAAGUGUGGAAGUCAUGGCUCACAGAAUAAAGGUGGCUGUGUCCCCUCUGGGCAGAAUCGCUGCUGGUGGAGAAACGGCAGGCUGACCAGGGCGGAGCCAGCGUGGGGAGCGUGGGGGGCGACGCCUUGUCACCACAGCCGCGAGGUCGUCCUGCGCCUCAGCCCUCACCAUGCUGUCCCCACGCCUGCUGUCCCCAGUCGAGAUCAGCUCUCGGAAGGAAAGGAAGAGGCCUAUCUAUCCUGUUCCCCACUGUAGCCUCUGCAUCAAAUUCUGCCCAGAAGCGUUCCGUAAGAGUUCCGUAAGCGAGAUCAGCCCUCUGAAGGAAAGGAAGGGGCUUAUCUAUCCUGUUCCCUACUGUAUCCUCUGCAUCAAAUUAUGCCCACCUCAUAGUAAGAGUUCCCUAAAAGUUGGUUAUUUAAAUGAAUCAAAUUUUUACCAUUUCUUCAUUGGACUCUUUUUCAGAUUUUUUCCUCCUUUACCCUGAAUCCUAAAUAUUCACUGAUUCUCCCUUGUUUUUGUCACCAUUCCCACCCACAUUUAACCCCUGUGACUAUAUCAU